GAACAUAUCAGAAAAUGGAGCAGUAGGCGAUGCCAUUACAGUGCACGAUAUCCCAGAGAAGAUUCUGGAGCAAACGGUUCACUUUCACGUCAUGAAGUUCAAUGUUUUUUUAUCUCCUUUGGUUCGGCUCGAACCCCGUCUUGUCCAACUUGGUUGUUUCAAUGGAAAGUACAUUUGAUUCGAUGCCGCUGUCUACCUUAGUCCUGGAGGACCCAUCUGAAACCACCCAGAAUUCACUGGCGCAGAAAUUGAGUAAGCACCCCUUUCUUCAUCUUCCUGUCAAUAUCCUAUCUCUCAGAAGAUUGGCUGUAUCCUCCACAGACUGUGAAGGGAUUGUCCAGCUUCAUUCUAUCAUGAUGGUGCUGUCAAGACAACUGGGAAUUUGGGAGAAAAAAAUCAUCAGGUCAGAAAGUCGGAGCUCUAUAAAGACGGAGCUAUAUCGGUCCGCAAAUACAGGACAACAAAAUAUAUAUUUUUGUAUUAACUGUUUUUUUCUUCUUCAGAUUUUCCAGGUGGUGCUGCAGCACCUCUACUUCCCGAGGCUAUGGUCGGACCUCGUUUUUUUCUGAAUUCGCAGUUGUCUUGAACUCACUGAAGUUGGAAUCAGUUCCCAGUUGUUUUGAACGGCAGCAUAAGACAGGCCACAUAUUUACACACACACAAACUUAUCCAAGAUGCCACAACAUUGUGCUUACGGUCAAAUUUGUCUAACAAUCAAUUAUACAUUGAUUUAUACUGAACAAAAAAAUAAACUCAACAUGCAACAAUUUUACUGAGUUACAGUUCAUAUAAGGAAGUCAGUCAAUUUAAAUAAAUAAAUGAGGCCCUAAUCUAUGGAUGGGAGGGCAUAGGCCCACCCACUGGGGAGCCAGGCCCAGCCAUCUGAAUGAGUUUCUCCCCACAAAAGGGCUUUAAUACCUAAAUAAAUACUCCUCAGUUUCUUCAGGUGGCUAGUCUCAGACGAUUUUGCAGGUGAAGAAGCUGGUUGUGGAGGUCCAGGGAUGGGGUGGUUACAUGUGGUCUGUGGUUGUGACGCUGGUUGGACGUACUGCCAAAUUCUCUAAACGUUGGUAGAGAAAUUAACCUUCAAUUCUCUGGCAAGACUCUGGUGGACAUUCAUGCAGUCAGCAUGCCAAUUGCGCACUCCCUCAACUUGAGACAUCUGUGGCAUUGUGUUGUGUGACAAAACUGCACAUUUUCGAGUAGCUUUUUAUUCUCACCAGUAGAAGUUGCACCUGUGUAAUGAUCAUGCUGUUUAAUCAGCUUCCUGAUUAAAUCCAUCCACCUGACCGGUGUGGCAUAUCUUGGCAAAGGAAAAAUGCUCACUAACAGGGAUGUAAACAAAUUAGUACACAACAUUUGAGAAGCUUUUAUGUGUAUUGAACAUUUGUGGAUCUUUAAUUUCAGCUCAUGAAACAUGGGACCAACACUUUACAUGUUGCGUUUAUAUUUUUCUUCACUAUAGUUGCUAUAUGUUAUUCAGAAUCAGAACAUUUACAGAAAGCUAGACACUUAAACCACUAACCAGUAUGAUUCUCUUUUGUUGGUGUCAGCUUACACGAUUUGAAACAUCACUAACUAACUCGUCACUAAUCCAGCUGUCCUCCUUAUCCUUUGUUUUCCAGCUACGAGGACCAAGAAACGGGUGUUUGUGAGCUACAAUCUGCCCAUGACCGACUCCAACCUGUCUCUGCUGGUGGAGAAUAGGAUAAAGAAGGAGAUGGAAGUUCACAUGGAUACAUUUAUCUUUCCCCCAUUUAUAUUGACUUUUUACCAAAAUAAUACAAUGGAGAGAACAACAUUA